UACAGAGGGGGCAAGCGUUAUUCGGAAUUAUUGGGCGUAAAGGGCGCGUAGGCGGCCUGGCAAGUGGAAGGUGAAAUCCCUCGGCUUAACCGAGGAACUGCCCUCCAAACUGCUUGGCUUGAGUCCGGGAGAGGUGAGUGGAAUUCCCAGUGUAGCGGUGAAAUGCGUAGAUAUUGGGAGGAACACCAGUGGCGAAGGCGGCUCACUGGACCGGAACUGACGCUGAGGCGCGAAAGUGUGGGGAGCAAACGGG
rnacentral:rRNA from 1 species